rnacentral:rRNA from 1 species
CCUACGGGUGGCAGCAGUGAGGAAUAUUGGUCAAUGGGCGGAAGCCUGAACCAGCCAAGUAGCGUGCAGGAUGACGGCCCUACGGGUUGUAAACUGCUUUUAUACGGGAAUAACGCGCCUUACGUGUAGGGCUUUGCAUGUACCGUAUGAAUAAGGACCGGCUAAUUCCGUGCCAGCAGCCGCGGUAAUACGGAAGGUCCGGGCGUUAUCCGGAUUUAUUGGGUUUAAAGGGAGCGUAGGCCGCAUGUCAAGCGUGCUGUGAAAUGUCCGGGCUCAACCCGGGCCUUGCAGCGCGAACUGGCGUGCUAGAGUGGGCGAGAAGUAUGCGGAAUGCGUGGUGUAGCGGUGAAAUGCAUAGAUAUCACGCAGAACUCCGAUUGCGAAGGCAGCAUACCGGCGCCCAACUGACGCUCAGGCACGAAAGCGUGGGUAUCGAACAGGAUUAGAUACCCGGGUAGUC